AUUGAACGCUAGCGGGAUGCUUUACACAUGCAAGUCGAACGAGUGGCGGACGGGUGAGUAAUAUAUCGGAAGUGCCCAGUAGCGGGGGAUAACUAAUGGAAACGGUAGCUAAUACCGCAUACUAUCGGAUAACCCAUAUGGGAUUAGCUAGUAGGGGGGGUAAUGGCUAACCUAGGCGACGAUCCCUAGCUGGUCUGAGAGGAUGACCAGCCACACUGGGACGGAGACACGGCCCAGACUCCUACGGAGGCAGCAGUGGGGAAUAUUGCACAAUGGGCGCAAGCCUGAUGCAGCCAUGCCGCGUGUAUGAAGAAGGCCCUAGGGUUGUAAAGUACUUUCAGCCGGGAGGCGUUACCGACAGAAGAAGCACCGGCUAACUCCGUGCCAGCAGCCGCGGUAAUUC
rnacentral:rRNA from 1 species